AUGAAAUUGCCAGAAGGGAUUGUUUUGCUGGUAAAAGUUAUGUGUCACUUUUUGGCCAGGAAGACAACUCCUGACAGAGAUGCUUCCUACAGCACACCAUAGUAGUGGGAGUGGAAUAACUGCUGCAUCACCAACACCUGUGAGCAUCACCUGGAAAAGCCUUACACAACCAGAAAGACAGAGCCAACAGAGUAGUGUAUGGCUAGUGACUUUUCUUCCUGAGGAGAAUGACUGA
rnacentral:lncRNA from 1 species